UUUAUUUACCUUUUAGUCAUUUGGAUACCUCCUCAUGUCAAUCACUGCUUGACUAUCUUAGCGAUAUUAAAUCAUGGAUUGCAAAUAAUUUUCUGAAUUUUAAUGAUUGCAAAACGGAAGGAAAUUUUAUAUGGCCCGCAUCGCUCUACUGAUUCUCCAGAUGUUGAUUUUGGUGAUUUGACCUCCCAUCUGAAAAGUUUGAUCACUAAUCUUGGUGUUAAACUUGAUUCCGCGCUUACUUUUGAAGGUCAUGUAAAUGGGGUGGUAAAAUCAGCUUUUUAUCACCUCAGACGCCUAUCGAAAGUUAAGCCUUUCCUUUCCAAACCCAAUUUGGAAACUCUUAUUCAUGCUUUUAUCACCUUACAUCUGGACUAUUGUAAUUCCCUUUUAAUAGGGAACGGGCACCUUGUCACGCCUGCAGUUAGUGCAAAAUGCGGCGGCACGAUUUUUAACCGGUAGUAGGAAAUUUGAUCACAUCACUCCGGUUCUGGCUUCCUUGCAUUGGCUUCCCAUUGAAUUUAGGGUUCGUUUUAAAGUCCUUUUAUUGGUUUUUAAAUCUUUAAAUGGUCUGGCUCCUGUCUACUUAUCUGAUUUGCUGAAGCCACAUGUUCCUCCUUGCUCGCUCCUGUCACGGACCCGGCUCUGGGGACUCGGGGU